rnacentral:lncRNA from 13 species
UAUUUUCCAAGAGAUCACAGCCAUGACUCCAUUGAGAGAUGGGAUGAGACUUCGGGCCCUGACGAUAUAUCGGAAGCGUCCCAGGAGAUAACAGAGGAAUUUUCAGACUUAUCAGACGGCCCUGAUGAAUCAAACAGAUUUAGAAUACGUUGACGAAGAGUUACCUGAAACUUCACAAGCUUUGAGAGGAAAAGCAUCUUCAAAGUCACUGCUGCCAGAGAAACAGUCACCUCAUGGUUUGGUGGAGGAGUCUGGUGACAGCUCUGACGACGAGCCAUUGGUUAAGAUGAUCAGGAAGCCUCUAACAGACUGCCAGCUGAGCGAGAGAGUGAAGGCACUGCUGAAAUACACAGACAUGGCAGAUGUGACAAUGAAGCAAAUCUACAAUAGACUGUUUGAGAUGUGCCCCCGGUAUGACCUGUCUAACAAGAAGGACAUCAUCAAGCAGACAGUGAAAGAGGAGAUUUCUUUACUACCCAGGGUUUUAAUCAAGCCAUAUUCAUAGAUUUGACAGAUAACAUUAUAAUCAAUGAUCUCAGGAAAACAUAGUUGAUAUCAUGACAAAGACUCCUGUAUAUGCCUUUCCAUUUAUAUUUUAUACAUACAUGUUCAGACUGUUUAAAUACUAUACCAUUUCAUACAACUUAUUUGUUUUACUUGCCUAAGUUUUGUAAAUAAAGUAUUUAUUGUACUGUACUGAUUUGGUUUAUGGUGCUCCUCUCUUCGGUACAGUGUACACACAUUGCAUUAUUUAUAAGCACUACCCAAAUAAGAUUUUGAGAAAUCCCCACAGAGUGAAUUUUCAUUGUGAUCCACAGAAUGUUAGAGAUUUUUUCUUGAUCCACUGUAGACAACACCUUUCAAUUUGGAUUUGUUGUGGAUACGUACAGCAGAUGAGACCAGGCAAUUAGCUUGCCCAGCAGCCCUGACCUCAGGCCCCACUGCUUGGAGUAAUGCUCCUUUGCUCUCCCUUCAUCUCCCC